GAUUUCUGGCUUGAUACAUUUGGCCGGCCACGGUUUCGUGUGUUAGUGCCUUAUGUUCUGGCCAUCCUUCCAAUUGCUGCCCACUUUUCUUCAUUGAUUGGUGGGUGGUAUUGGAUCUUUUACUUUGAAAAAAUUAGAGUGUUUAAAGCAGGCUUGUGCUGUGAAUACAUUAGCAUGGAAUAAUAAUUUAGGACUUUGGUCUUAUUUUGUUGGUUUCUAGGACUAAAGUAAUGAUUGAUAGGGAUAGUUGGGGGUGCUAGUAUUCAGCGGCCAGAGGUGAAAUUCUUGGAUUCGCUGAAGACUAACUUAUGCGAAAGCAUU
rnacentral:rRNA from 1 species